UAAUGUUUGUCCAGUGCUUUGAAUCAGAGCACUAUAUGUGCAAAGUAUUAUAAUUUUUUUUAUUAUUAUUAAUAGGGUUAAACUCUCGUUUGAAGCUCUGUAAAGGUUUAAAUAUUUAUUGGGGUUUGUAUUGUGGUGGUGGGGUUCAGAUUUUUGUGAUUUGGAUCUUUGAAGAAUGGUCCAGUGGUUAGGGUGCCAGCCUGGGACUCAGCAGAUCUAGAGUCAAUUGCCGGCUCUGCCACAGACUUCCUGUAUGAUCUUGGGCAAGUCACUUAGUGCUUGUGUACACAGGGAGUUAUUCUGGAAUAGCUGUUCCUGAUUAACUCCAUGUGUGGAUGUUCUUAUUUCAGAAUAAAAGCAUCUGCACAUGGAGUUAAUCAAGAAUCUGCUUUAAAUUCACAUUACAGAUUUAUUUUCAUGUGUAGACUAACUCUUAGUCUUUCUUUCUGUGCCUCGUUUCUUGAGUGAUGAUAAUACUUCCCUGUCUCAGAGGGGUGUUGUGAAGAUAAAAACAUUAAAGAUGCUUAGAUACUAUGGUAAUGGAGGCCACAUAAGUAUCUGAAAGAGAGAGAUAAAGGCAUUUGAGUUGGUACCUAAUGCUAUUUUGAUUAAAAAAAAAAAUAGAAAGAUAUAAAAUGAACAUGGCACACAUUAAAUGGAUUAAAAGUUGGCUAACUCAACAUAUAUUUGUAAAUGGGGAAUCAUCUUAGUAUGGCUGUGUUUCUAGUGGGGUCCCUCAGGGACUGGUUCUUGGCCCUAUGUUAUUUAACAUUUUUAUUAAUGACCUGGAAGAAAGCAUAACAUUAUCACCGAUAAAGAUUGCAGAUGACACCAUUCCCCCAAUUUUUGUAAAUAAUAAAGAGGACAGAUCACUGAUACUGAGUGAUCUGGAUCGCUUGGUAAACUGAGCGCAAUACUGUUUCUCACUUUGACAAUUAAAGCAGAAAUUAAGGUGUGCAUCUUGCAAAGUGACCUCUGUGGGCACCCCCCUUUGUCCAUGUGGUGCAUCCCUGAAGGACUGGGGCCUACAGUGAUUAAUACACAGCGAUCCUGAAUCCCAGGUCCCUAUUUUAAAAAUAAAUGUUUCUCAGUUGUAAAAGUGCAACAUAAUAGAAAUGUAAUAUAUUGGUUUUAUAUGCAAAACUAUUACAGAGAAAAUGCUUUUGGAUCUGAGAAUGUGUCUCUCAGUUUUCAGCCCAAAGGGACUUUUUUAUACAAAAGUUUAUAAAAACUUUUAAAUUAAUUAUUUCAGUACAACUUAAAGACAGAACCCUAAUUCAGUAGCUCCUCUCUCGUUUCUCUUAAUUAAAGCCCCAAUCCUUCUGACUCAUACUUAACUUUAAACAGUGAAUUAUCCUAUUGACUUCAAUGAGUUACACAGUGUGUAAAGUUAAGCACAUGUAUUAAUCUUUGUAGGAUCAGGGCCUGAGUCAUUAAAAUAAUAGAGUAGGUGCUAUUUAAAAACUUCAGCAUUUAUAUCUCCUUGUGGUAAUUGAGAAUAAUAUAUAUGGUACUGCAGUUAGUGCAGAACAGUAAAUGCUGAAUUUUAAAUUGCACUCAUUGUACUAAUGAUACUUUUAUGUAUAUAAACACUUUACAACCUAAAAGUGUACACAGAUAUUAAUGUAUUCAUCAGGCAUUAAUCUGCCAUUACUUAGUGAUAUAGUCUAUACAACAUUCUUACCUGAACGAGAGUGUCUUUUAGUACACUAUGCCCCAUUUAAGCACCUGAGGCUUGAUUUUAAAUGGUGCUGAGCACCCACAGAUCCCAUUGAGUUUUGGCUGGUCAACACUUGUGAAAAUCACAUCCUUCCGUGUGGACUUUGCAUAGGGCCUUGUGUGGUAUGGAUUGGGAGGGGGAAAUUAUCCCAAAGUCUUCUAGAAGCUAUGGGCCAGUUCCUAUUGAAGGUUAAUGCGGAUUUGCUUCAACAUGAAUUUGGACAAAAGAGUAAAUGAUUUAUAAAAUUGUACAAAGGUGCUAAUGUAAGUUAGUGAUGCUACAGGAACUCUGUGUCUUUAUUGGUCUGAUCUUGUAUGUCCUCCAUACACUGGACUUUUAGUGGGAAUUCAGUAUGGAUUGAGCACUGUGCACCCAGCUCCUCUGUAAUUUCUGUUACUAUUAAAAUAUGUAAUUUAGUUCAGAAUAAAAAGUUUUAAAUGGCUGCUGGAAUGAUGAUUGGAAAAAUGUCAUCACAGAGAAGAAAUAACUUUCUUAAAUAAUAUUUCUAGCUAGAUUGUAACAUAUAUGUUAAUGAUUUUCCCUGACUGAGGUUUUUCAGCAUCAUAUAAUUAAGAAGUUCUGCAUAAAGCUGACGAGCACAUAAGGAAAUCUGUGUCUGAUGAAAAUAUCACAUGAAAUGGAUAAAGUUGGAGGAACAUCUGGACAUGCAAGGAUAAGAUUAUGUAGAAACCAUCAGACUUUAGAUGUAUCUUGGUUAAAUUCUAGCCUACAAGAGACAUUAUUACCAGGAAAACCAUGGCAUAAGGUUUUAGACAAACUUGGAGCUGCUCUUGCUGAUGACGUGAAGCAGCAACUAAGAAAUCCUGAACAACGACAAAUGGUUUUCUGUCUUCUUGGCCAGCAUUUUGUUAAAAAAUAUUUUAAUGAGUGUCCUAAUCAACCUAGUCUACUAUCUUCCACAAACAUGAGUGAGAUAGAUCAGAAGAAGUUGGAAGAAGAUACAAGGAUUUGGCUGAAGCAACAGUGCUUAAAAGCUGCAGAACGCAUUAGCUGUCAGUUCAGACUUGAUAAUAACUCUGACAGACUGGCUCCCGAAAUGGUGCAUUUUCUUAAUGAUACCUACAACAUAGUAGCAGCAGAGAUGGAAUUGUUAUUGGCUACACAUGAGGCAUGGAAAAAGGCAGAAGAUUCACAUAAGGAUCUACCUUCAUCGGAGUGGAAUUCUGAUCCGACAUCAGUAGCUAAAAAAAGGCCAAAUUCUGUUGAAAACAAAGACCUCAAUUUAGCCAUAUACGGAGGAUCUGUUUUCCAAUUAAAUGAAAAAGACAAGAUGCACAUUGGUUCUGAGAUACCCUCACCUAUUCUAAAUUGCUCAGCAAGUGAUAUACUGGGAGACUCAAUCUGUGCCAUAAUCUCAUUAGAUUAUGAUAGUAUGUUAACUGUGUGUGAAAGGCUAAGUGGAAAAUUACUUCCAAAGACACUUCGACAGUUUAUCUGGACUGAUAAACUUCUAAAAGCGGAUGCAAAAGUUGACAAGUUUGAAAGAAUAGCAAUUCUCGAAAGAGAAGCUAGAGUGAAGUUUGGACGAACAGUGGCACACCGAAUUGCUAAACUGAAAAUUAGAAGUGCCACCCGAUCACCAAUUUCAGGCCUUAUUGAAAAUGCAGUUGUGGAGAAAUAUGAAAAGACACCCUGCAUGCGUUCUUUUGCCACAAAUGAACAAAUGAUUUCAGAGACCAGCAAAACCUUAAAUGUCCUCUAUGUUUUCAAUGGCACAUAUGAACCCUACCUAAUCUAUUGGCUUUUUCCUUUGCAAAUGGCAUUUAAGCAAAUAAUGCCUACAGGUGAACAUCCCUAUGAAUUGGCUAUGUACCUACAUUUCCUACAUCAAAACUUAUUCCCAUCAUGGACAGAGAUCUUUGCAAUGGCUGAGUGGAUGAUGAGCCUUCUGGAGAGCGAGGACAUUGAAUUCUUCACUCAUCUUCAACAGUGUUUCGGAAAGAAUUUUGCAGUUGACCCAAAAGAUUUCCUGGUGGAGUUGAUAGUUCGAGAAAGAGAGAGAGGUCAAGAACUCUACACAGCAACAGACAGAUCUGAGCAAAACAAACAUCUAACCAAGGAAUUACUGGCAAGCCCAGUCAUUUUCCUCAGAAAGUGGAUGGGUGAAGGCUUUGUGAGUAUACUGGAUUUUCCUGCAGUGUUGUUGAUUUGGGAUCAAUUGUACAUGCAAGAUUGGAAUCAAAAGGUGAUGGAGAAUUUCUGCCUCUCAAUCCUUAUGCUGUUAAAGGAUUCACUAAUGGCUGCCAAUGAUUAUCCAGCUAUAAGAGAGGUGUUUUUGUUCUAUGGUUGUCAUCUUCUUACAGCUGAUAUUCAGAGGGCCUGGAUUCAUCUUCAGCAAGGUGGUUUACCAUCUGACAUCCCUGGGCUUAGCAGGCAGAAUCAAAGGCCACUUGCUGAUCUGUCUCCAAGGCUCAGUUCAAUGGAAGCUGGAAAGGUUUCUCUUGGCUUCCAGGACAUCUUGCCAGUUGAAGUGAAGGAUGUUUUACUGAAGCUAGUUUUACCAGUACCACAGGUUGAGAUAUCACACACUGAAACUUGGUUGAAAGAGUUUGACCCUCUUGCUGUGGAGUUAACGGUUUCAGUAUUUUAUGGCCUUGAAAAACUGUGUUCCAAGACUAGCUCUUUUAAACCCUCUCUUGUACAGAAAACCAAAGGGAAAACAGCAAAUAAAAGUGAAACCACUGAAUUUACUGUUCAGUUCAAUGAAACAUUUGCCUUUGAUUCUCUGGAUCCAUCUGAGUUUAUAAAUAUGGCAGAAGCUAAACCCUAUAUUGUAUUACAAGUAGUUUACAAGUCUAAAGGCAAAGACUCACUGACUCUUGGAUGGCAAAUGGUGGAUGUAUUUCAGCAAGAAACUACAAAUAUUAAAGCUAUCUGGACACCUAAAGAGUUUUCUACACUUGUUCCACUGCAUCCUGGGAAACUUCCUUAUAACAUUAUGGAUUAUACUUUGAAGCAUGUCUCAAAAGACUUGGCCUGGGGUCAUUCAAGUAUCCAGUUAACUGUUUAUGAUACAUCCCAGGAAAGACAUAGACAGAGAAACAGACAAAUGAGAAGAAAAAGGCUUCAAGAAUCUGACUUUCUCUAUGUACCUUGGAUUCCAUAUAAUUCCUCUACCAUAUUACCAAGUCCUACAUCAUUAAACUGUCCAUUGGAUCUAUAUAUAGAUGCACUCCAUUAUAUCCCUGAUAAUGCAACAAUAACAAAGGUAACAGGGCAAAUCAAGAAUUCAGGGCUGAAUAGCUUGCCUGAUAUUAUGGCAUUUCCACUUCCUAAUAGUUCAUCUCGAAAUCCAGAAUUCCAGUACCGAAUGGUCUUAAAUGGAGAUGAUCCAAAAGUAAUGGAUAUCAAGACAUGUGUUCUUCUUCAAGUUUAUACAGUGGAUGUAGAUUCUGGAGACCUUGUUAUAAUAGGAAACUCUGUGAUACGUGUGUUUAAUGAUGAUGGGAAGCUAAACGUAGGAGGAUUUCAAUUAAGACUGAGAGGAGGGAUGCCAACGAAGGAACCAGCAGCUUUUACACCAUCUGCAUUAAAUCCGUAUCCAGCCAUUCCCUGCUGCACUAUACUACUUCGAUUGUUACCACACACUCAGUUUUCAGUGCCUGCACCAAGCUACUUGAUGGGAUAUUACUUCUCAAAUGAUGCUAAGCCCAAUAAUUCAGAGCUAGAGGUUAUAUCCAGCUUUCAAAAGGACAACAGCUUCCCAAAACUUGUACAAGACAUGGCAAUACAUUUAAUUAACAAAGAACAAAGCAAAGUUACACUUGAUCAUUUGGAAGCCUGGUAUGUGGAAAGGUUGGAUGAAAAAAAGACAUUCACGACCAGAACACUUUCCAAAAUAUAUCAAUAUACAUCACGCAGUUCGCUAUCGGCAGGAAGUAGGCAUCCGGAUAAAGGUCAAACAAGCCUUUGGACUUAAAGCUGGUGGAUAUUAUGUAAAUGUGUUAGCCAGAGUCCUUAAGGGAGCUACAAGCAUGCAUUUGCCUGAGUUACCUCAACAAUGGGCAGGAGAAGAAAAAUUUCUAACAAGCCAACUUGACUUUACAAGUCUACAGAGCUCACCACGGUGGACGGAUCCAUCUGUGGACCAAGGCACCAGCAUAUACCCAUACCAAGGCCAACUGCUGUUAAGUACUGAACAGGGGUAAUGGAUAUAGUUUGUCCACCAUUUACUGGGAUUUGAAUUCCAUGGAUCCACUAUAUGCAUGUACCCACUGGCCUCUCCCAGGUUUGUGGGAGAGACGUACAUUUCCUCCCUUUAGAGAUUUGCAGUGGAAAUUGCUUCUACAGUACACAGCAGUUGUGAUGUGCUCCUGUGCAGAUUCUCUACAAUCUAGACCAACCAGUACAGCUGAAACUCAUUGUUUUCACUGUCUCUGGGCAUUGAGUUAAAGGAAUAAUCAUACAUUUUAAAUAUUAAACAGCAGAGUUUUUCUUUAAAAUUAGUUUAACAAUAAAACUGAGUUACAGUCUCUGGCAUUGCAUUCUGAGACUGCUGGCAAUGCCAGGAGAAGGCUCA